CCAAAUAAGACUGACAGAAUAGCUCUAGGUGUUGAGAAUUGUUGUGGAAAUGAAAAAGUUGUAUGUAAUGGAAACUUUUUUUUUUCCUCCAACAGAAAAAUGAAAAUUGGGGCUGGAGAAAAUUUGCCCAAAGAAGGCAGUACAAUGGAAAACCUUCAACACCUGAACAAGAAGAGGCUAGUCCUAAGCAAGGUUGGAAGACUUAAUGAUCCUGCAUGACUGAAUUGCUAGCUUGGCCUGACAAAAGGAACACAUGGACUUUGAAAAUUUUGAUAAUUAGGGAAACAAAAAUUAACCCACGAAUCAUGGCACAGCGUCAUAGAAGAGUCCUUCAAGAUCUUGUUUUCUUGUUGGCUUGUCCCUUUAGGGGUCACCACAGCGCGUCAUCCUUUUCCAUGUAAACCUAUCUCCUGCAUCUUCCUCUCUAACACCAACUGCCCAUAUGUCAUAUGUCAACAUCCAUCAACCUUCUGUUUGGUCUUCCUCUCGCUCUUUUCCCUGGCAGCUCCAUCCUCAGCACCCUACUUCCAAUAUAUUCACUCUCUCGCCUCUGCACACGUCCAAACUAUCGAAGUCCCAAAACUUUUCUCCAAAAGAUCCAACUUUGGUUGUUCCUCUCAUGAGCUCAUUUCUAAUCCUAUCCAACCUGCUCACUCCUAACGAGAAUCUCGACAUUUUCAUUUCUGCCAUCUCCAGCUCUACUUCCUGUUGUCUCUUCAGUGCCACAGUGUCAGUGCCCAGAGGAAACCCAUGCAGGCACAGGGAGAACAUGCAAACUCCACACAAGUGGGUCUGGGAUUGAACCCGGGACCUCAGAACUGUGAGCUCCACAGUUUUUCCAGCUGAUCCAUCGUGUCACCCUAAUUAGACAUAUAUAAUAUAUAUAGAGAGAACAAUAACUUAGUCUGCACAGACCAACAUGUUCCUGUCUUCACAAGGAUCUUCAACAGGUCUCUAGAACUGGGUGAAGUACUAACGUGCGUCAAAUGAUCCAUCAUCAUACCAGUCCUCAAAAAAGCAGGUCUUUAUGACUACAGGUCUGUUACCUUGAAAUCUGUAGUAAUAAAGUCCUUUGAACGUCUUGUGCUGUACCACCUCAAGAGCGUCACAGAUCCCCAGCUGGACCCACUUUAGUUUGCCUAUCGAGCUAACAGGUUUGUAGAUGAUGCCAUCAACAUGGGUCUGCAUGUCAUCCUUGAACAUCUCGACAGUGAGGGAACCUAUUUAAGGAUCCUGUUCGUAAACUUCAGCUCCGCGUUUAACACCAUCAUUCCUGAACUCCUCUCUUCCAAACUUCUCCAGCUGAGCGUCUUGCCUGCGAUUUCCCAGUGGAUCCUGAUGGCCAAUACAAAGCAGGUGAGGCUGGGGAACAGCACCUCAUCCACAUCAACUAUAAGCACCGGGGUACCCCAAGGUUGUGUCCUCUACCCGCUUCUGAUGAAAUGACUGCGCCUCGAGGCACCCGACUGUCAAACUCCUGAUGUUCACAGAUGACACCACUUUCAUCGGCCUCGUUGAGGAUGGCAACAAGUCUGCGCGACAGGAAAUGGUGAGAGUGAAGCUUUGGUGUGGCCAACUCAACCUGGAGUUGAACCCUCUAAAGGCUCUAGAGAUGCUCGUGGACUUCAGGAGGCAUCCUUCACCACAGCUGCCCCUGACGUGGUCCAACUGAUCACAGUCUGGUUUGGGGCUACCACAAUAAAGGACCAACUUCGACUGAAAUGGACAAUCAAAACCGCUGAACGGAUUGUUGGCACCAACCUACUCAACCUUGAAGACUUGCACGCUAUUCAAACUAGGUCCAGAGCAGACAGGAUCCUUUGGGACCUUACACGUCCUGGCUACCAACACUUCCAGCUCCUUUCGUCGGAGAGCAAGUGUUGGAUGGAGUUGUGUUUGUGUAUCACCAGUCUACUGCACUGCUCCGGGGCCCGGCAGGAAUCAGUUAGACGUGACACCACGUAAGUGAGCCCCCACCACGCCUCCUCUGAUGUUCUCCAGCUCAGCGUCUUGUCUGCCAUCUCCUGGUGGAUCUACUACUUCCUGACGGGCAGGACACAGCAGCAGCGGGGCACACCAAGCCUGUGUCCUCUCCCCUCUGCUUUCACCACGGUCAUCGCCUCAUCAAAGACGGCAAUGAGUCAUCUUAUCGACAGGAAGUGGCAAGACUGGAGCUUUGGUGUGGUCAACACAACCUGGUGUUGCACACUCUAAAUACUGUGAAGAUGAUUGUGGACUUCAGGAGUAUGCGUGUGUGUUCUCUCACCUGAUCCAUGGUGUUCAGAGAGACCUGGGGUGACUUCCAGUUCGUCGCAAAGCUUGUUAAAGUGGAAGAUGUGGUUUUAGCUAAAAGUGGGGAGGUCUUCACACAUGGAUAAACACACACAGACACACACACACAGCACAGCACACAUGCAUAGCAAAACACCUCAGGGUCAAAACAAAUGAGCUGUGCACAUCAACUCACAUCACCGAUUCUUUUCCUUGGCUAACAUUACCUCCUCCUCUCGCCCUUAUCGGAGGUGCUAUUUUGGUUUCUUCAAAUCAUAAUGGUAAAUAAUCAGUUCAAUUGUUAUGCAAAAGGAAUUCAUCUUAUUAUUUGUAUAUACCUUCCAUUCUCCCGUCUUCGCCAGAUAUCUAGCUGGUGGAAUCGUGGCCUCACACUGCUUUUCCUUUGCCUCUCGCUUUGUCAGUGCUGUCUCUUCUCAUUUAAAUCCCACAAGCUUUUUUUCUUUCUCCUGUGCUUUAGACGGCAUUAGCGACAGAAUGGGAUGAGGAGAAGGAUCAGGGGGAUCGAGUGCAUGUACCACGUGACAUGAUAGUAAAGUGGUAUUCCCAGCUGUCACACUCACGCAACCAGAUCUUAAUAAUUUUUUAGUUAAUUUAAUUUUAGUUUUAAAAAAGCAAAAAACACAACGACAUGUUUUUUUACUGGGUAACACUGACCCAUCAACAACAUGGAAAGUGUAGGAAGGGGAAGCUUGGACAUCGUGGCAGGAACGGGCAGCUGUACGAGAGCCAUGGAAGAAUCACUGGAGACAAACGCAAGGGUUGCAUGUGGUUGAGGUGGACUGCCAAGAUGGUACUGAUUGCUGGGGUGAGGAGACAGAAGGUUGGGGCCCAAAGCACCACCCGAGCUCCAAAUGGGGAUCUUGAGGGCACGGACUAUGACAAAUCCUGUGCUGCAACCUCUGCGCUGUACAGCUGGAAACUCCCACUAAACAACAACAGAAAUGGCUGGAUGCGUUCACUACACAGGCCCAUCUCAAGAAUAUACAUCCAUCCAUUUUCUUCGCCACUUAUCCUCACGAGAGUGGCGGGAGUGCUGGAGCCUAUCCCAGCUGUCAAUGGGCAGGAGGCAGGUUACACCCUGAACUGGUUGCCAGCCAAUCGCAGGGCACAUCGAGACAAACAGCCGCACUCACAAUAACACUUAGGGGCAAUUUAGAGUGUCCAAUUAUUGUUGCAUGUUUUUUGGUUGAGGGAGAAAACCGGAGUGCCCGGAGGAAACACGCGUAGGCACAGGGAGAACAUGCAAACUCCACAGAGGUGGGGCCGCGAUUGAACCCGUGACCUCAGAACUGUGAGGCCAAUGCUUUCCAGCUGAUUCACUGUUCCAACAUCUCAAUAUUAUAAAUGCAUUUACAUCAUUGAGAUGGGAGACUCUUCCUUUUUAUCGUAUCAAGAAAUGUGUUGGAUUUGUACUUUAAGAUUGUCUGAAAGGCAUCCCACAUUAUUGAGGUCAAGUCAGUGGAGCGAAUGUUGUGCAGAGAGAAAUGAUUGGAAAAUGAAUGGCGCCAUCCAGUGUACACUACAUAUAAUGUACGCUGUUGUCCUAUAUUAUUACAAAACAUACAUACAUCCAUUUUCUACACUAACGGUGGACAUAAGUCUACACUAUACAACCCCAGUUUGAAUGCCAAGUUUCUCCAAAAAUGAGACCAAGAUAAAUUAUUUAAAAACUUUUUCACCAAUAGUGUGACAUUUACCAACUUAACUGAAAAAAAAGAAAUGUUUUAGAGAGGGGAAAUAAAAAUAAACACACUAACUGGGUUUUACAGUUUCACAUUGGAGCAGAGUAGUGUAGAGUAGUGGGGGAUGGAGGGGCCAAAUAUUCCAUUCAAGUAAGAGUACUGAUAGUUUUGAAUAAUAUUGUUCAAGUAAAAGUAAAAAGUAGCCGUCCAAAUAAUUACUGUUAUAAGAGUAAGAAAGCAGCCAGUGGGGAAAAAAAGUAAAACUAAACUAAAUAAAAUAUGAAUGUGCAAAUUUGGAUAUUGCUGACCAGGUUAGUCAAAAACUAAUAAAAUCUUUGUAAAAUAAAGUCUUUGUAAAAUAAUACUUUUAGGCAAUUGGGCAAAUACUUUAGGCUCAUCAGGCUGAGACAAACACAGGACCAAAACUGUUGUGGAUAGAAAAAGUAUACACACCCCUGUUAUAAUACAAGGUAUUUGUGUUGUAAAAGAAUUUUAAAUCAUUUUGAAACUUCUCAUCUUUAAUUUGACCUACCUUUCCUUCUUCUUUCGGCUUGUCCCUUUCGGGGUUGCCACAGCGUGUCAUCUCAGAUGAACGCACAUAUGUUUAGCACAAUUUUUACGCCGGAUGCCCUUCCUGACGCAACCCUUCUCAGGGAGUGGGGGCCCCAGUGGGAUACGAACCCACAACCCCUGGUUUUCCAAACCAGUGCUGAUAAAUUUUAUUUUUGUAUAUUUUUGAGAGGGGAGAUGAAAUCAAAUAAAUAUGAAUGUGUUUGACUUGGACUCGAUGUUUAACUUGCUGCCUAGUUAGAUAAAUAACAUAAAAGAAAUCUGUAUCACAAUCCGAAAGCUAGUUUAUUUUUCCAUAGUAUGAUUUAAAUAGUCUGCAUUGUCUAUAUUUCCAAACAAAAUCAUAAAUCCAACUUCGCUGGCAUCCUUACAGCUCUCCCGGACCUGGUUCUGAGAGUAGGAGUAGAUGGUGGCUCUGGAAGGUUCUGCGGCGGCGGUUCCUUUGUCAGUUGAUCUGAACCGCUCCUCUGGGAAGUCUCCACCGGAAUGGGGCAAAUCUGCUUCGGCGAGGCUCUCAUGGGCGUCCGAUGACGACGGUUUCGUCUCAUGGUUCCGUGGAGUCCAUCCACUAGAUACGGACGUGGGGUAGCAUAAUCUGUUCCCAGACCCCCAAGAUUUCUCCAAGUUGCAUAAAGGGUUUGUCUGGUCACCUGCCGCCAAGUCAUCAAUUAAGUUGAGGCGAACAACAAUGUCAAAGUGCUCCUUCCGAAGCUCACGAAGGGUAAGGUGUGUAGUCGCGGUGAUUUUUAAACACCUCCUGAAGGGCCAUUUCGUAUACAUUUUUAUAAAGUUUGAAAUGACUUGCUAGUCCAUGGGCUGGAAGAGAGGGUUUGUGUUAGGUGUGAGGUACACACUCUAAUGAAGGAAAAUUCCUCCAGGAUAUCAUCUUCAAAGUUGUGCAAGUGGGCAGGGGCAUUGUCAAGAAUGAGGAGGUACUUGAGGGGAAGAUUGUUGUCUUCUAGGAACUUCUUCACAGCAGGGCCAAAAACUAAGAUCAUCCACUCAAAAAAAAAAAAAAAAAAAUGUCAGAUGACCCAGGCCUUAGUAUUGGCCCUUCACAUGACUGGAAGUUUCUCCUUUAGGAUUUUGUGACCUUUGAAUGCCCUGGGAUUUUUAGUCAGACACCAGCAGGGGCUUAGUUUUACAACUCCCACUGGCAUUGGCACAAAUAGCAAGUGUAAGCCAGUCCUUCAUUGGCUUAUGGCCUAGCAGUUUCUUCUCCUCCAUUGUUAUAAAUAUUCAACAAGGCAUCUUUUUCCAAAAUAGGUGAAGUAAGAAUAAUUUUAUUGUGUUGUUUUUCCAUAAUUAAAAGAUGUUUCGCAAUAGCUUUGUAUAACCUAAAAGACGAUCGCAAUAGCUUUGAAUAACCAGCAAUGUCAUAAAAGGAUGUUUGGAUAACCAGCAAUGUCAUAAAAAGAUGUUUUUGUGUUAUAUGAUGUCGUGCAACGCCAUUUGUUGGUAACAAAGAAUAGUGUGGCGUCAGGCGGGAUGAAUUGGCCACUCAACCCUCCUUCCACACACGCUUAGAGUAUAAAAGGAGAACUUUAGAUACUCUCGGUAGAGUCUGCUGCGGGUUGCGUACGGAUGCCCAGCCGGUAUUGAAGCUGCUCUCUACCUGGAGUGUUGGCUCUCCCUCCUAUUGGCGCACGGUAAGAGCUGGAUAUUCUUCUAAGAGCUGAUUGGAUAUUACUUAGCUUCAUACCACGUGAUUUGUGCUUGUGCUUGUGUUACCAUUUCUGUGUGGGACCAAUAAAGUGCCAAUUGUUGGUAGCCAGAAGUGUGUCUUGUCUUCAUUUCUGAGUGCCUAUCUCCGACGAACCUAUUAAAAUUUGAUACCGAACU